rnacentral:rRNA from 1 species
GGGUUGGACGAACCUCUGGUGUGUCAGUUGUUCCGCCAGGAGCACCGCUGAUUAGCUACGUUCGGGAUGGAUAACCGCUGAAAGCAUCUAAGCGGGAAGCCGGCCUCAAGAUGAGACUUCCAUGCCCUUUGGGGUGAGAGGCUCCCAGCCAGACUACUGGGUUGAUAGGCCGGAUGUGGAAGCGUAGUAAUACGUGAAGCUGACCGGUACUAAUAAGCCGAUGACUUGAUAAC